GGACUACUGGGGUAUCUAAUCCUGUUCGCUCCCCACGCUUUCGCUCCUCAGCGUCAGAACAGGCCCAGAGAACCGCCUUCGCCACCGGUGUUCCUCCCGAUAUCUGCGCAUUUCACCGCUACACCGGGAAUUCCGUUCUCCCCUACCUGCCUCUAGCCUGCCCGUAUCCACCGCAGACCUGGAGUUAAGCCCCAAGCUUUCACGACAGACGCGACAAACCACCUACGAGCUCUUUACGCCCAAUAAAUCCGGACAACGCUUGCGCCCUACGUAUUACCGCGGCUGCUGGCAC
rnacentral:rRNA from 1 species